UGCGUGUUCUUCUCUCUGCAGGCUGUCAGGCUGUAGAGUCACACAGAGAGGCUGUAAUUCUCUGGCUUCAGCUCUGUGUUCAAACCCCUCAGACCUGAGAGAGCUGGACCUGAGAUACAAUCACCCAGGAGACUCAGGAGUGAGAGCGCUGUCUGCUGCUAAACUGGACACACUCACACUGCUUGUGGACCAUGGAGGAGAGAACAGGACCAAACCAGGACCCAGGAAAUACGGCUGUCAGCUCACACUGGAUCCAAACACAGCGCAGAGAAACCUGUCUCUGUCUGAGGGGAACAGGAGGGUGACACACACACCGGG